ensembl:lncRNA
GGACAUUGAAAUGCACCGUGUAGAACGAAAGACCAUCGUACAAACAAAGACCCCAGCCAUGCACAAGUCAUCGGGAUCCUUGGCAGCAACAUCACCCUUCAAUUUACAUUCAACGUUAGCAUUACUGAAAACAGUCAAAUUGGAAUUUAUACAACAGACGAGAAAAAGAUUGAUGAUUUUAAAAGUGGGAAAAGUUCCUUUGAUAUUUACCCCCAAAAGAAUUCUGUAUUUUACCACAUCACAAAUCUCACUCUAAGCCACAGUAACACCUACUGGGCCAGUUUACUUGGUGUCAUCCCAAUAAAAAGUAAUGAAGUGCAGCUGUUCAUUGAAGAGAAGAAUACACACAGUACAGCCACUGAAACACCCGCUGAGCCUCCACAGUACAAUAGUAAUGCCAUCAUCACUGUUAUCCGUGUCUUCGCCUUCAUCACAUCUUUGGCCUUGGUUGUGGGAGUCUGCAAGAUCUACCAUCUGAAAUGCAUCAAGUCCAGAAACUAAACAGCCACAGAUGGUUAACAGAAGAAAGACGAGACUGAUGGAGCAGAUCCGUGUGUCGUAUACUUUCACACUGGCAUCAAGUUCAUAAAUAACAUAAUGAUUUAU